GACAGUAUGAGGAAGAAAAGGAAGACGUUUCGUAUCUUAUCCAAGGAGCUUCAUCAGUUCUACAGGUACUUGGCGCACUGCAAGUGGCCGUUGUAAUCAGCAAGAUCUGCGGCCGUAUAGCCGUCCUGGUCACGCUGGCUGAGGUCGACGCCGUUCACCACGAGGAUCUGACAGCACUGUGUGUGGGGGAGGGGAGGAGAAGAAGACAAGGAGACUUGGCUUCCCACCUAUCCGUAAAGAGCGAAAAACAGACCAUCGUCUUGAAAACAAUUCUGCAAAUUGAGGCCUCGCUUAAAUAGUACGUGUCCAUUUGGGGCUAACUGGACUUUCCACGUUGUAAAGGCUUGAAAGACCCCCCCCCCUUUCUAAGCUGGUUUCUGGCUGGCAGUAAUAACGUAACUGGCAGAUUUUUAAUUACCCCUCCAAGCCUUUCCAAAGGCUAUUUGUGGUUGAGCCACACUUACUUGGCGUGGGAAAUGAGAUUAAAAACCCUUUAAUCUCCCACGUCCUGUACUGUACAGUUCCAAAGCAUCCCGCUGACCUAUUUUGACAGGCGGGGUGAUUUCAUAUUAGCAGCUCCUUUGGCUGGAGUUUAACUCUAAGUAAGGCACUUCAGCAGAGGCUGGAAAAGCUAUGGUGGUGUUCUUUUUUUUUUUUCCUGGGCAGGGGGUUGGGCUAGGUGACCUCUAAGGUCCCUUCCCGCGCUUGCAUUCCGCUUUGAGUUGGGUGGCUGAACAGAGGGUGGGCUUGGAUUUGGGGUUUUCAAAGGUGUGGCAAAGGGUUGUAAAGGCAUUCCCUCUCUUUUAACUCACAUAUG